UGCCAGCCGCCGCGGUAAUACGGAGAGGGCAAGCGUUGUUCGGAAUUAUUGGGCAUAAAGCGCACGUAGGCGGAUUGGUCAGUCGGUUGUGAAAGCCCGGGGCUCAACCCCGGAACUGCUUCCGAAACUGCCAGUCUGGAGGACGAGAGGGGAGAGUGGAGCUUCUGGUGGAGCGGUGAAAUGCGUAGAUAUCAGAAGGAACACCGGUGGCGAAAGCGACUCUCUGGCUCGUUUCUGACGCUGAGGUGCGAAAGCUAGGGUAGCGAACGGGAUUAGAUA
rnacentral:rRNA from 1 species